GAUGAACGCUGGCGGCGUGCCUAAUACAUGCAAGUCGAGCGAACAGACGAGGAGCUUGCUCCUCUGACGUAGCGGCGGACGGGUGAGUAACACGUGGAUAACCUACCUAUAAGACUGGGAUAACUUCGGGAAACCGGAGCUAAUACCGGAUAAUAUAUUGCACCGCAUGGUUCAAUAGUGAAAGACGGUUUUGCUGUCACUUAUAGAUGGAUCCGCGCCGCAUUAGCUAGUUGGUAAGGUAACGGCUUACCAAGGCGACGAUGCGUAGCCGACCUGAGAGGGUGAUCGGCCACACUGGAACUGAGACACGGUCCAGACUCCUACGGGAGGCAGCAGUAGGGAAUCUUCCGCAAUGGGCGAAAGCCUGACGGAGCAACGCCGCGUGAGUGAUGAAGGUCUUCGGAUCGUAAAACUCUGUUAUUAGGGAAGAACAAAUGUGUAAGUAACUAUGCACGUCUUGACGGUACCUAAUCAGAAAGCCACGGCUAACUACGUG
rnacentral:rRNA from 1 species